GUGACUCCUCCUCUCCCCACAACCACCUCAAGCCCCCUAGGCCCACUCCUGAGAGAGCCGUGGUCCCGGAGCCCGAAUCACCAGCCUCCUCCUGCCUGGUAGGCCUCCCACACACUCCCUCCUGGCAAAAGACCCACUGGAAACACACAUCCCUUCUGGCGCUUGUGGAGAGUGUACUGCUGUGUUGUUUUGUUUUUAAUGUCAGCCGACACAUCGGCUGACUGACAAAUAAGGACAAGCCACUGAGAAAGAACUGUCAUCUGAAUGCCAAGAACAGAGGCUCUCACAACACGUUUAUUUCCAGAGCUCGACAAGCUUCCCUGUCUGCUGGAGUCCCUGGUUAACUGGGCCAGAGCUGUAGAUGGGAAAGUCAACCUGGACAAGCAAAAUGUCCACAGUGCCUCAUGCAACAGCCAAACCCUCCAUGGAAUACCUUAAUACCUGGCUAUUUGGGGCAAGUUAAGGAAAAGACUUGGGCCGAUAGCCAGGAAUGUAGGUUACAGAAACCUAACGUGAUAAAAAAAGAAAUACAUUACUAGAAAACUUAUGUAAUCAAACAAAAGAAAGGGCAGAGGUGAAGCUGGGCCUCCACCACAACAAACACUGGGAACUGGAAUUUCACUGACUCCCUGCCCUGCAUCUUCAUCUCUCUCUGUGUGUGGAUUUCUGACUUUACAUUCCCUUUAUUUCUUGCAUACAGUCGGGGAACAUGUGCUGGUUUGCCCAGAAGCACAUCUCCGUCCAUCUUCUACUGAAGACAGGAAGGACUGCUACAUAUGGUUGUGCAGGUUGUGUACUGCCCAACUCAUGGAAGCACCAUUUACAUCAUAGUCUCUGGCUGAGAAGCAGAGAUGUUGAGGAUGCUUGGCUGAACCCAGAAAACGCUUGAUGUUUUCCUAGCACAUCCUCUGGUACAGCAGAGUGACCCUGUGUUUUACCUUCUUGAGGGGGGUUUCAAAAAUCCCCAUUCUAAUCCUCAAAUGGUGGGCCCUUCUAAUAAAGACCUUUGUGACUAUCUCUGAAGGGCAACAUUUUGGCAGAACUUUUCCCUUCAAGCUUAAUGAGGUCAGGCAGAAGAUAAUUAAACUUGUGACAGGGAAGAAGAGAAAGGUUUGCAAGGAGUAGAGGGGCUUUCUGAGAAAAUUCAGCCCUUAACUCUAGGACCUCUGAUACUCAAACUCUCAAUUCUCAAAGUUAACUUCACAGCCAAAGGAUAGGCGCUUCCACCCUUUUCAUAGCUCUGGGAGAAGUCACCCAUCUUAGAGGUCUCUCAUCUCAUGAGGGGGUUGGAGGAUGUCACAUGCACAGGUCACCCCUCAGGGCCUCUGUGGUCUACCUGUGCUUGGGAUGCUUGGCCAAGACCCAGCUCCUUCCUGGGUGAGCUGACUGGGCAGGUACUACCCAGUGAGGCAGUGGGCGGAGAGCCUGCAGCCAGCGGUGAAAGGAAGAAGACUGAAGCUGGCAGAGCUGGGUCCUAUGUCCACCUGUCACCAUUGACAAAGGCUGCUUCCACCUGAAAUUAGCCAAUAUUUUUUUAGGAUGUUUAUAUCUACAAUCAUGAGUGUAUUGGCCUGUAAUUUACUUUUCUUUUACUGACCCUGUCUAAUUUGGGGGUCAUGAAAAUUUUGUGAACUAAGCACCGUUCCAUCUUUUUCUCCUAUCUGGGAGACUGUGUAAGGCUGCGAAGCUUUGUAGAAUUUAUCUAUAAAGACGCCUGGCUAUGAUGUUUUCUUUUUGGGGAGAUCAUUAACUACUGAUUCAAUCUUUAAAAGUGUUAUAAGAUUAUCCAGGUUUGCUAUUUUUCCUUAAGGCAAUUUGGUUAAAUAUUUUCUAGGAAUGUAUCACUUUAUCUAAAUUUUAAAUUUUACAAGCAAAAAGUCAAACAUAUUAUUCACUUUUUUACUUUCUGCUCCGACUAUACCAUGUCCCCUUUCUCACUCCUGAAAUUGUUUAGCUAUGUUGCUGUAAAUAUGGUUAUGCUCAAUUCUACCAUUUUAGUCUCUGUUCUUGUUAUUUCAUUGAUUUUAAUUUAUUUGGAUCAGUUCAACUGUCAUUUGUCUCAUCUUUCAAGCCCUCAGGAGCCAAGAGCAGACUGGGACACAUGGAAUUUUUCUUACAUUUCAGAAUUGAGUCCCUCUCCUGUUGCAACAAUGAGAGUGUCUCUUUCUUCUCUUGUCUCAGUAUUAAAGAUCCUCUAUUACAGACCGUGCAAUGAGAUGUCGAGAUAUUGCCCCAUCCAGUUCCUAACUUCUUCACACAUCAACACAUGCGUCCACUCCCCCACCCCUUCCCCCACUUCAGCUGCUGAGACUUCCUCUUCCUCCCUUUCCCUGAACAUCUUGCUAUUCCUCCUUUCUAUUUGAGUCCUUCAAAAUCCCACCAAGGCACAACACCUCCCAGAAGCCACAUUAUUUGGAAAUUGAUUGAAGUCUGACUCUACUCACAGCUCCAUAACUAGCCUCCGAGCUCCUUUAGGAUCCACGCUUCCUCACACUCAAGAUACAAAAUCAAGGAAGAAAGCAUCAUUUUCCCAGCUUGGGUCCCACAUCCAAUCCGUCGUCAGGGGAGGGCAGGACUCUCUCAGUGACACUCUCAACAAGACUGAAUUCAACAGGAAGAGUGAAUGCCAGAAGAAAAUCAGAGUGAAGGAGUAGAUAGGUCAAAACUACAGAUAUCCUAGCCAUUUAAUAUCCAGAGUCAUGUGAGAAUAGGCGGUUUGUUGGUCCUAGUUUUUCUAAGGGAGCCUCUAAAGUUUCUCCUUGAAACAUAAUGUUGUUGGCUGGUGAUGGUCUGGAUCACAUGAUGAAAAUAUCCCUUUAGUCCAAGUACUCCAAAAUAUACUUUUCUGAACAGUAAUAGAAAUUAAAUAUUAUCAAACACAUUUUCAAGCACCUAUUAAGUUGCUCUUAGAUUUGCUUUCCUGUUUGAAUUUAGAUUCUGAUACCUACUGUUAGGAGAGGCAGUCUGCCAUGGACCCUGAGCAUCUAUGUACAUUCCUGCUGGGUUUGCCAAGAAUGUAAGGCCCUGGCUGCUGUUUUCCUGGGCCGUCUCUUAGCGUCAUGUUUUGCAGUGAGUAACCUUGAGGGAUGAGGUAAAGUCUCCUCUCAGACUAACAGCAGGCUUACUUCUCUUUCCUUUAAAGAUGUUGAAUUCUGCAAGCUCACUGUCCUCUCCUGUAACACUGUAACACAGUGUGCGUGCAGGCAUUCAUCACGGGCCCUAUGCCAUCCCCAUGGGACUUGUGAGGCAUAAGAACCAACGUGAAUGUGAAGCUCCCUCUGCUUUGCCAUGAGUAACAGAGUCCUUGAACCCUGACUCAGGAAUUUCACGUCCUCUUCCAGCAGCCAUGAAACAAUAACAGGCUAACUCUUUAGCUUGAAAGUAGGGCUAACUCUCAGACUAUGCACAGUUCUUAACACAUAUUAACUGCAUGACCUUGGACAAGUCAAUUAAACUUUCUGAGCUUUUGUUUCCUCAUCAGCAAAGUGGACAACACUAGUGUUUACCUUUUAAGAUUGGUAUGAUGACUAAAUGGAUCAAAAUACCUGAAAUAUUGUGUUUUCUCAAAAAAUAUUAGACGCUAUACUUGUAUUCCCUGUAGUGUUGACAGAGGGGCAUGGCAGUGACAGAUGUCAUACUAUGACAAACACAGUUGAUCUGCCUCCGUGAACUUCACAUCUUCACACUGUUUUACUUUCUACAUAUAUUCCUGAGCAUAGUCUGCUAAUAUUUUCAUGCCUGGCUCCUUCUUUUCCAUCAGGUUUUAGAUUAAAUAUCUCCUCAGAGAGGCCCCUGCUGUCCUUGCUAAGUAGGUCCCCACUGUCAUUGUCUGCUAUACCAUCCUGCCCAUUUGCUUUGUAGCACUUGUCAUGAUUUUCAUGAUUGCAUUUGCUGACUCAUUUGUUUAUUAUCCCCACUAGAAUAUAACCGACAAAGUCAGAAACCACGUCUGUCUUCUUUAGUAUAUUUCCAAUGCUUAGCCCAGUCCCUGAUUUGAAGUAGCUGCUCAGUAGAUUUUUCUGGAUGGAUGGGAAUCUAGAUAAACAGAUUGAUGAGAGGAUAAAUGGAUGGAUGAGCAGAUGGAUGGAUGGAUGGAUGGACGGACGGACGGAUGAGGAAGCUGGUGCUCCAUAAACGUUUUCUGGAUAAAGGGAUGGAUGGAUGGGUGGGAUGGUUGGAAGAUGGAGGGAUGUUUGGAUACUUGGCAAGUCAGAUUUUCAGCUCCGAUCCUCUAGGGGGCGCAAAGGGACUGCAUGCGCAGGUUCGGCCCAGGGAGACACGGCUCUCCGCCGCAGCCUGAGCGCCAGCCGCAUUUCCUCCGGCGCAGGGCGGGUGGGGGCCGUGUCCUGAUCUUGUGGCUCCCGUCCCGAGCUGUCCCAAACCAUCCCGCAGCUUCUCGCGCCGUCCCUUCUGACCCGUCGCCGACAGUUCUGGCCCCUUGGGUGAGUCACUGCUGGACCACGUCGCACUGGAACCCCCGGCGGCCUCCAGGGCCGGAGCUGCGUCCCCCUGCCCCGACAGGAGGGGAAACUGAGGCCGUGCGGGGGCGGGGAGAGCGGCCAGUGGUCAGCUCCCAGCCCAGGCCCGCCCCGGUUCCGUGCCCGCCCCCUCGGCCGGGGUGGUCCUCUCGGGAUUCGUGUCCUCGAGAAAGGGGCCCGCAGGGCAGCCCCCGCUGCUCCGGAGCCGCGGGCGUGCGGUCCCCCGAUCUCAGCGCCCGGUGGGAGGACUCGUCCCGCUAACGGCGAGAGACGGGCCCGGCGACGCGUGGCCCGAGGGCCCGCAGGGCGCCGUGCGGAGCCCGGGUGAAGCGGGCCGGAGGGCGCCGAGCCCGCGAUCCUCUCCGCCCCACCUCCUCGCCUCCUGGCGUUCGAUCCCCCAGGGCCCCUCGGCGCUUCCUACCAGGCCCUGCGGCUGCCGAGCUCGCGGAGAGAUGGGACCUCGGCCUCGGACGGCUGAGCGGGCUCUGCGUCCGCCGGCGCCCCCUGCUCUCCUGCGGGGCUCUGACCCGCGCUGCCCGACGCGCCCUCCGUGUCCAGCGACUGAGGCUGUGCCCUGGCUCAGCGCCUGGUGGGGGUCCAGUGUUCACCAGUUGUGAACAAAUGCACAAGAGAGAAGAAAAGGAGAGACACAUCCUUGUAAGGUGGCAUGGCCUCAUCACGUUGUGGAAGAUCAGAGAAAGACUACGUGGGAGCCAACCAGAGGGAGAGGGGGCAGCUCGGUGCAGAGGGGCCCUUGAGAGGUGUCUCCAUCCUGUCAGGAAGCAGCUGGACCACAGUGCUCCCAAGAGGUGUCCACCCUUUCCUCUCCUGUCUGGGCCAAGUUGAAGGAAUUUUUCUGCAGGAUUGAAGCAAUUACGUGGUGCUGUGCUCAACUAGGCUGACUCCUCCAGGCCUCUGCCACUGGCCUCCUUUUUCAGCAAGCCCUCUGUCCUUUUCUGCCUCUGCAUUUGGAAGUGAUCACAGCUGCCCGUGUCCUGUUCAUUGAUGAGUCCACUGUGUGCCAAGGUGGUCAUGGGAGUUAUCAUGUCAGGAACAUUCUAGACCCCAGUGUCCUUGAGGGGUGCUGCUGUAGAUCUGGAGCUCGUUGGAGGAAGCCUCAAGGGGUUGGACGCACUGGCCCUCUCAGGAUGCUUACCUGGGUCCCAGUUCUCCUGGAGAGGCCUCCUCGUGAUUAUUUUGGAGUUCAUCACAGACACUGGUGUAGCAGAGUGAAGAGUGAUGUUGCCACAUGACACCUCGCCAGACCUUCUAACCCUGUUGUAUCAGCAAAACAUAGGAGGACUUUUCCCUCAGCGUGAGUGGAUACAUGAGGCUUAUGUCCAGAGCUGGCUCUGCCCUUCCCCAGCAGUGUCGCAGAGCGUCAUGGACCAAGAAGACUGGUUUCCUUUCGUCUGGGCCAGGUCAUUCAGUGGCCUCCAUGUCCCCCUGUCCUCCAGUGUAACUUUUUAGAGCCAAGAGUUUUCUGUGCUUUGUAUCCUUGUCCUCUCACCCACCAAAUAAAUCUUGAAACUGCCCCGUUGCUUGUUUUUUUGUUCUUUUUUUAAGCCAAUACCUCCCAGUGUCAGCAAGGCUGGAUACAGAGAAAGUGGGUCACAGGGUAGAUCUUCCGGUUUUCACGCACUGAGACUUCCCGCUUAGCACAGUGCGAAGCCUUGACCCAGGGGCUAGGAGGUGGGAUGUAGAAUUUGGACUAGGGGUUGAACAAUCC
ensembl:lncRNA